UACGGGGGGAGCAACCGUUGUUCGGAAUUACUGGGCGUAAAGGGCGCGUAGGCGGCCUUCUAAGUCAGACGUGAAAUCCCCAGGCUUAACUUGGGAACUGCGUCUGAUACUGGGAGGCUUGAGUGCGGGAGAGGGAUGUGGAAUUCCAGGUGUAGCGGUGAAAUGCGUAGAUAUCUGGAGGAACACCGGUGGCGAAGGCGGCAUCCUGGACCGACACUGACGCUGAGGCGCGAAAGCUAGGGGAGCAAACGGG
rnacentral:rRNA from 1 species